rnacentral:rRNA from 1 species
AUAGCGUAUAUUAAAGUUGUUGCAGUUAAAAAGCUCGUAGUUGAACCUUGGGCCUGGCUGGCCGGUCCGCCUCACCGCGUGCACUGGUCCGGCCGGGCCUUUCCUUCUGGGGAUCCGCAUGCCCUUUACUGGGUGUGUUGGGGAACCAGGACUUUUACUUUGAAAAAAUUAGAGUGUUCAAAGCAGGCCUUUGCUCGGAUACAUUAGCAUGGAAUAAUAGAAUAGGACGGCUUUCCUAUUUUGUUGGUUUCUAGGGGAGCCGUAAUGAUUAAUAGGGAUAGUCGGGGGCAUCAGUAUUCAAUUGUCAGAGGUGAAAUUCUUGGAUUUAUUGAAGACUAACUACUG